AACUAGAGUCUUGUAGAGGGGGGUAGAAUUCCAGGUGUAGCGGUGAAAUGCGUAGAGAUCUGGAGGAAUACCGGUGGCGAAGGCGGCCCCCUGGACAAAGACUGACGCUCAUGCACGAAAGCGUGGGGAGCAAACAGGAUUAGAUACCCUGGUAGUCCGCGCCGUAAACGAUGUCUACUCGGAGUUUGGUAUCUU
rnacentral:rRNA from 1 species